GAUGAAGAACGUAGCGAAACGCGAUAUGUAAUGUGAAUUGCAGAAUUCAGUGAAUCAUCGAAUCUUUGAACGCACCUUGCGCUCCUUGGUAUUCCGAGGAGCAUGCCUGUUUGAGUGUCAUUAAAUUCUCAACCUCACCAGUUUUGUAACGAGACAGGUGAAGGCUUGGAUGUGGGGGUUUUGCAGGCUGCCUCAGUGCUGGUCUGCUCUCCUGAAAUGCAUUAGCGAGCUCAUAUUGAGCUUCCGUCUAUUGGUGUGAUAAUUAUCUACGCCGUGGAUUGGACUCAUGCUUGCUUCUAACCGUCCGCAAGGACAAUUUACUUGACCAAUUUGACCUCAAAUCAGGUAGGACUACCCGCUGAACUUAAGCAUAUCAAUAAGCGGAGGA
rnacentral:misc_RNA from 1 species